UCAUUAUGAAAUGUCCAUCUUUAUCUCUGCUGGCUGAAGUAGACGUUGGAGUAAUUUUUCAGGAAGAAUGCAGGAGUCAAACACUUCAUGAGUCCUUGCAUAACUGAGAUUAUUGGUCUGUUGACUUCAUAUAUGAACCACAAUGUUUAAGUAUUCAAUCAUUUACCAAAAAAAAAUUACCUCAAGCAAAGUAGUGUGCUGGAUGCUAAAAAUACAGCAGUAGCAAAAUGUGCACCAUUGAUGUUUUUAUGGAUUUUACAUUUUAGUGGGAAAAACAGAUAUUAACAGCUGAGUCUACAAUUAAUUACUAGUGAUCAUUACAACAAAGGAGAAUCACAGAGUUUGAGCUCUAAUCACUGAAGAGAAAUGAGUAGAGAUGUGGUGUGACCAGUCCUGUCUUUUUAUUAAAAUCACACUAAUUCUGCUGUAGAGAAUAACUCAGAAAGGUGAAAGAAGACGAAGAUGGACCAGCAGGAAGGCUAUUUGUUAUGGCAAAGGCUCCAGCAAGAGAUGAUACUAGCUUGAACUAGACAAGUAGCCGUGGAAAUUGUAAGAGGUGGAUAUAUUUAAGGCCAUGUUAAAAACAUCUUUCACUCUUCUAUGUCUCACCCAUUCAACAUUAAAUCCAUUAGCAAUUCUGUACAUUUGAAAUAUAUCAUUUCUCACCACUCCCUUCCCUUUCACCCUAGUCCAAGUCACCAUUAUCUUUUGCCUGGACUACUGCAGAAGCCUCCUAACUACUGUUCCUGUGUUUACUUUUGCUCCCCUUCACAGAGUGAUCCUGCUAAAACAUAAAUCAGAUUAUGACACUUGUCUCAAAACUCAAAACAGUUUCCCAUCUCAGACUGAGUGAAAGCUGAAGUUCUAACAAUGGUCCACAGGCCAAAUAUGAUCUGGCCUUGUGUUUUCUGGCAUCAUCCCUUAUUACUCUGCUUUGCUUUUAUAGUCUAGCCAUACUGACCAUGUGUCAUUCCCUGACCAUGCCCGGGGCCUUUGCACUUGCUGUUCUCUUUGCCAAGAACACUCUCCCUAAAUCUUUGCAUGACUUGAUCUCUCUUAUUAUUCU
rnacentral:lncRNA from 1 species